AUUGAACGCUGGCGGCAGGCCUAACACAUGCAAGUCGAACGAGUGGCGGACGGGUGAGUAAUGUCUGGGAAACUGCCCGCUGGAGGGGGAUAACUACUGGAAACGGUAACUAAUACCGCCUACCAUCGGAUUUGCCCAGAUGGGAUUAGCUUGUAGGUGCGGUAACGGCUCACCUAGGCGACGAUCCCUAGCUGGUCUGAGAGGAUGACCAGCGACACUGGAACUGAGACACGUUCCAGAGUCCUACGGGAGGCAGCAGUGGGGAAUAUUGCACAAUGGGAGAAAGCCUGAGGCAGCCAUGCCGCGUGUAUGAAGAAGGCCUUCGGGUUGUAAAGUACUUUCAGCGGGGAGGCGUUACCCGCAGAAGAAGCACCGGCUAACUCCGUGCCAGCCGCCGCGGUAAUAC
rnacentral:rRNA from 1 species